GAUGAAGAACGUAGCGAAAUGCGAUAAGUAGUGUGAAUUACAGAAUUCAGUGAAUCAUCGAAUCUUUGAACGCACAUUGCGCCCCUUGGUAUUCCAUGGGGCAUGCCUGUUCGAGCGUCAUUUGUACCUUCAAGCUUUGCUUGGUGUUGGGUGUUUGUCUCGCCUCUGCGUGUAGACUCGCCUUAAAACAAUUGGCAGCCGGCGUAUUGAUUUCGGAGCGCAGUACAUCUCGCGCUUUGCACUCAUAACGACGACGUCCAAAAGUACAUUUUUACACUCUUGACCUCGGAUCAGGUAGGGAUACCCGCUGAACUUAAGCAUAUCAAUAAGCGGAGGA
rnacentral:misc_RNA from 1 species